rnacentral:rRNA from 1 species
UACGUAGGGUGCAAGCGUUAAUCGGAAUUACUGGGCGUAAAGCGUGCGCAGGCGGUUUUGUAAGUCUGUCGUGAAAUCCCCGGGCUUAACCUGGGAAUGGCGAUGGAGACUGCAAGGCUAGAGUUUGGCAGAGGGGGGUAGAAUUCCACGUGUAGCAGUGAAAUGCGUAGAGAUGUGGAGGAACACCGAUGGCGAAGGCAGCCCCCUGGGUCAAAACUGACGCUCAGGCACGAAAGCGUGGGGAGCAAACAGG